GCAGCCGCGGUAAUACGGAGGAUGCGAGCGUUAUCCGGAUUUAUUGGGUUUAAAGGGUGCGUAGGCGGGACUUUAAGUCAGUGGUGAAAGUUUGCGGCUCAACCGUAAAAUUGCCAUUGAAACUGAAGUUCUUGAUUGCAGUAGAGGUAGGCGGAAUGUGUAGUGUAGCGGUGAAAUGCUUAGAUAUUACACAGAACACCAAUUGCGAAGGCAGCUUACUGGAGUGUAAAUGACGCUGAGGCACGAAAGCGUGGGUAUCAAACAGGAUUAGAUACCCC
rnacentral:rRNA from 1 species